UACGUAGGGGGCGAGCGUUGUCCGGAUUUAUUGGGCGUAAAGAGCUCGUAGGCGGCUGUUCGAGUCGGGUGUGAAAUCCUGAGGCUUAACCUUGGGUCUGCAUUCGAUACUGGGCGGCUUGAGUCUGGUAGGGGGAUCUGGAAUUCCUGGUGUAGCGGUGGAAUGCGCAGAUAUCAGGAGGAACACCGGUGGCGAAGGCGGGUCUCUGGGACGGUACUGACGCUGAGACGCGAAAGCGUGGGGAGCGAACAGG
rnacentral:rRNA from 1 species